GAUGAACGCUAGCGGCAGGCCUAACACAUGCAAGUCGAGGGAGAAGCCCUUUCGGGGGCAGAAACCGGCGCACGGGUGCGUAACGCGUAUGCAACCUACCUUUCACAGGGGGAUAGCCCGAAGAAAUUUGGAUUAAUACCCCAUAAUAUUAUUGGAUGGCAUCAUUUGAUAAUUAAAACUGCGGUGGUGAAAGAUGGGCAUGCGUCCUAUUAGCUAGUUGGAGUGGUAACGGCACCCCAAGGCUACGAUAGGUAGGGGUCCUGAGAGGGAGAUCCCCCACACUGGUACUGAGACAGGGACCAGACUCCUACGGGAGGAAGCAGUGAGGAAUAUUGGUCAAUGGUCGGAAGACUGAACCAGCCAUGCCGCGUGCAGGAAGAAUGCCUUAUGGGUUGUAAACUGCUUUUAUAUGGGAAGAAUAAGGCGUACGUGUACGUUGAUGACGGUACCAUAUGAAUAAGCAUCGGCUAACUCCGUG
rnacentral:rRNA from 1 species